CAAGGACCUCUCCCAGGGGCCUUAAUGUGGGGACUGGGAGCAUGUGCACGGACUCCCGAUCCACCGAAGAGCUGCUGAGGGAAGGGCAGUUCUGGCCAGUCAGGUUGACAUCAGAGCCUAAGAAACCACUUAAUCCCAACCCAUAUUUGCUACCUACCUCAAGCAAAGCUGAAAGAGACAUGGCUGAGAAGUUAAUACCCAAACCAAGGCAGCUGUCCCCAAACUGACAGCCAAAAGUGAAAGUUGAGAGGCCGCCACACCUUCCGGAGUGAGGGAUGUGGGGCCGGUGAACACCCUGGUUCUAGAGUAGACUUCAGAGGCCUCUGAAUGGACCUGCUUCUAGCGUAGAGAGAUGUGCGGUAGACUCAAGGACAGAGGUUAUCCCCACUGUUGUCAAGUCAGUGAGAGAUGGCCGCCUCUCUCCGUGCUCCCACAGAGCGCCCCUGCCCCUUCCUUCUGCCUCUCCCCAGUUCUCCUCAAGAAAGGAAACGUUUCCUGAGGGCCAGGCCCCAUCAUCAGCCUGAAUGCAGUUCCAGUUGGGGCUGUGGAUGGCUAUGACAAGUCGUCGGGCCGCUCCUCUAGGAUGGGAGAGAAAGGCAGGGAGAAAGGUCACAGGAACAGAGAAGGUGACCCUGCCGGCUGACAGCGGCCGGCAAGCCGCUCCUUUGUUCUCCGUCAGUAACAGAAACCUUUCCUCCCUUCUGCUGUUCUGCUUUCCACUCUUAAGAGACCACAUAUUUUACUAAAAGCAAAUAAAAAGAUUUCCCUCAGGGAAACAACUUGGAAAGAAGGGAGAAUUUUCCUUGGUAAAAGGCAAGCGAGUGAGCGCUUUGGUAAUCCCCCUACUUCACCUGAUGGUCCAGCACCCACACCCCCACACCCCAGCCUUGCUUUCUCAGAAGCAUGAGGUCACUGGGCUCCUCUGGAGACACAAGCCCAGGAGGCUUGCAAGAGGUGGGAA
rnacentral:lncRNA from 1 species